AUGUGGACAGUCUGGGACAAACUCCUCCUGUUCCUUGAAGCCUAUUAGAAGCAGCUCUGCCACAACCUUUGGAGAUCAGGUCUCUGGGAGUCCCGUAGAUGACAAAAAGAGGCCGUACUGUCUGUCCAGUGCAGUGGGAUGGUUCUGCUGACACAGAUGGAACAGCAAUGAUGCAAUGAUAGUGGAAUUUCCACCUCCUUAUACAACUCUGCAUGUAAAUAUGCGGAGAUGCUUUCUCUGCAUAUUUAAACGCACAGCUCUUAAACCAAGUGGACGCUAAUCCUGAGCUACCAAAAAACCCACAGGUACAGGAAAGGCAGAUUAUGUUCUGCAAAUCAUACACUGGGAUCUAGCCAAGUACAAAAGAAACUAAAUAAGAGCUGCAGUCAGGCCUUCGAAGGUAAAACAGUGUGAAACAUUUGCUUCUGUUAAAAGUAUUCCAAGUGCUUUUUUUGUGUGUCAGUCUUCCUGCAAAAUC
rnacentral:lncRNA from 1 species